CCCGGUCAUCGUAGCUACUGCACGUCACUGUCAAGUUGUCAUUGGAGAAGAUGAUGUCGGAGUGGGCCGAGCCGGGGUCAAAAGCAAACCAAGCCACUGGGAACAACAGAAGGGAGGCACAGUUUUGGAACUGAGCAGCCAUUGGGCCAUAAUCUAUGGAGGAGAAGUGUGUUUUCAGAGCACAGCAAACAAGAGCUGCCACAGAGGGCUGCAGGAGCCUCAGAAGGCUGAGCUCUGCUGCAGUGCAAGCCAGCGGUGGAAUGUUCUCUGCUCCUCGGGAAGAUUUAAAAACAGACAAGGAGGACCAUGGAGAAGAAGGCUGUUUGCUCAAACGACCAAGCAGGUUCUCCUCUUCAGCAGGGCUGACAUGGGCUUCAGUACCCAGAAUGAUGCUCCUUUAGGGGGUCCCAGCAUGGGAGCUUCCAGGAGUGAAAGUGCAGAAAGACUGGGUGGGAUCAUGAACACUGGCAACCCUCCCGAAUUCCUCUGUGGACCAAGCUGGAAUGUGGUGAUGGAGAAAGGAAGCCGACCCCUCACCCCUACACAGACCAUAAACCUUAAGGAGGGUUUUAUGAAUACUCAAGGGUGGUAAGAGGCUCACACGCAUUCACCUAUGGGAUUUUUCAGAGCCACCUUCUUCUUCUCUCUGUUUCAUAGACAAAGAAGCUGAAGCCCAGUGAGGUUUCAUGGCUAACAAGAGGCGGGACCGGAGUCUGAAGCCUAGCAGGAUGGUUCUGAGCCUGUGGGCUUGGCACACAUCAGCUGCUCCUGCAGCUGGGGCUCAG
rnacentral:lncRNA from 1 species